CAGACCUCUAAUCGGAA
rnacentral:rRNA from 2 species